UUCUAAUUUUAAAUUUAGUAGGCCCUGCCCAUUGAAAACAUUAACGGCCGCAGUAUAUUAACUGUGCUAAGGUAGCAUAAUAAUUAGACUUUUAAUAAGAGUCUGGUAUGAAGGGGUUGAUGAUUUCUUGACUCUCUGGGACUAAGUGGAGAAUUUUAUUUUUAAGUAAAAAAGCUUAACUUUUUCGAGGGACGAUAAGACCCUAUAAAGCUUUACUUGGGAGCAGGUCAUUAGGGGGACACAACAGGCAAGCGGGUUGAGCUGGGGCGGCAAUUAAAAUCCUUUGAUUUAAAUAACGUAAUUAUCGAGUCGCAAGAUCUAUAAAAAGUUAGAAUAAGCUACUUUAGGGAUAACAGCGCAAUCUUUUUAGAAAGAUCUUAUUGAUAAAAAGGACUUGCGACCUCGAUGUUGAAUUGAGGGGCCUAGACUAAGCAGUCAUAGUCUCAGGGAGUCUGUUCGACUUUUAAUUCCUC
rnacentral:rRNA from 1 species